rnacentral:lncRNA from 1 species
AUGUGCCUCCAGGGUGCUGAGACCCCAGCCCUCUCCCCUCUGACCUUCACCAGUCGGAGGGUCACCAUGCUCUUUCCCACUCUACCCUCCCUGUGUGCUCUGCUGCAGUGUGGACUGAGGCUGAAAACUGCAUUUCCCAGGGGCUCUUGUGGUCUAGCUAUGGGACAAGCAAAGGUGCUACAGAAAACGGGGAGACACAAGUGGGAAAGGGGGCUCACGUCCCGCUACAGAUGGCUCCAGUGUCACACUGACAGCAGGGAUAGCUGCACCCCCAGCUCCCAGGUCUGUCUGGCACCUCCUGGUGGGGUGGGCCCUGCACAACUGUCAUAUCCGGGAGCCGUAUGCACGUGGAUGGGGAACCUCUCCAGGGCCAUGCAGACCCUCCUGGCCCCUCCAGCCCUGCGGUCGCCGUGACCUCCUGUCCCCAGCCCUCGUUCCAAUACCCGAACACCCGGCCCUGGUCUUCAACCCUCUCUAACAGAACCGUCUCAUGGCUGAGCGGGCUCUGCUGACUUCACCCCCGUGACUGUCCAUGAGCUCUAAAAACUGGUCCUUCCUAGACAUUAAUUUCUCAGCAGUGACAGCAACAAAGGUACAGAGCCCUCCCAGAUCAGAGGUCAGACUCAGGGAUGCCCUUCGGAGGCCACCUGCAAGGCUCUGAGAGGACUUCUGGGAGCUGAGAACGUCCUUAGCCCCAGACGCAAGAUACAGGAAAUGGCUUCUUCCAGAAACCAAGGAAGCUGGGAGGGGGAGCUGCUCCCUGGGGGCCUUCCGGUGGGGGAGGAGGAGCCCGGCGCAGCCACGUGUGACGCCAGCAGAAGACCUGCCACCCACCACCGUCUGUGUUACAGAUGCAUUACAGGAGUUCAAAGAGUCAUUUCUUACGAGACAGUAGAGAUACAGCUGGGUGCGGCCCGUAACCCCAGCACCUGGAGGCUGAGGCAGAGUUUGAGGCCAGCCUGGGCUACAGAGCCCUGUCUCCUAAAACCAGACUACCUAGAAAAGUGGGAGCCCAAUAUAAUAUAUGGGAAGGGGCAGCGAAUGCAUGAAGCCACCAUAAGAAGUGUUUAGGACAUAAAUUCAGAAAGUAUAAAACUUUACUGAUUCAUAAAAGAGACUUGGAAAAACAAGGAAACGUGCUUUAUCCCGAAGAGGAAAGAUUAAAUGUUUUUAAAUUGUCAAUCUUUAGAAAGGCAUUUAAGCAAAACAAAUGAUUGGCUUUCUCUCCUCCUAGGUUGUCAGCCGGCCCCAAGUGCCAUUCAUCACGAUAGAAAUGCUGGAAGGCUUGGAAACAGCCAGGAACCUCGGGAUGGGCAAGGGUGAAAGGGGCAAAGAUUCUCAUUCGGUGAUCUUUACGACUGGUGAGUGCGGAGAUGAUGUUAUCGUGGGAGUAGAGCAUGCUCUGAUUUCGAUAAAAUGCGAUUUGAUGUUAUGUAUUGGGGAGCCUUUCAUAAAGAGCAUCCCCUAAAUCUGAGUCGUGUGUAGGAAAAUGGCUGCACGUGGAGCCCGUCAUGGGCGGGGCUUUGCUUGGGUCACGUGAUUUCUCUCAUAUGAGAAUCGCAGAAUGAAAGGUAGCUAGUAGGAAACACGGAGCCAGGCCUUUUUUGGAAAGGGCAGGGGACCGAGAGAUGGAGGGAGGGGAGGGAAUCAGGCCCAACUCCGCCACGAACGGGGUCCGCGCGCUGCCUCUGGACUGACACCAACAGGAACUGGAAGAGAGUGUGUCCUCCUCUGUGUGGUUCUCGGCUUCCAGCACACGGCCUAUCCACAGGAAAGCAGCGCGCUCCGAAGAGUCCAGAGGAUGAGGCUCAAGGCAGCGAGCACGCCUUAGAAGUUGACUACUGGGUAAAAUUUCCAACGUCUGUUCCGCUCCAGAUGAUCCGCACUGUGGCUUGGGAGUGUCCCCCGAAGUUCACGUAUGGGAAACUUCAUCCCCAGAUUCCUAUCAAGCGGCACCGGGGGGCUUCGGGGUGCAACUCGGGUGACAUGAGGCCACGAAGACGGCACCCGUGGUGGCAGUGACACUACAUUCUGCUGUCCCUGAAGGUCCCCUGCUCCAGAAGCUGGGCAGAUGCUCUUGGACUUCCGCUCCAGAACUGUAAGCCAAAUAAGCUUCUGCUCCUAACAAAUUACGCUGCCUCGGACUUUGCUAAAGCAACAGAAAAUGGACCCAGAUGUGACCUAAGCCGACACAGCCAUUUCCCUGAGGACGGACUCAAAGACAGACGUGGGUCUGCUGCAAGCGGGAGCUGUGACCCCAGGCACUGGGUGACAGCAGAGAAGGUCCCUGGCCCCUAAAACUUGCAAAGACAGGAAGUGACAGCAGCUCAUCUUUUUCCAGACAUUGCCGUGCCAACUGCCAUGUCUGAGGCCGUGUGACUGCGUGGAGAGGGACGGAGGGUUAGCCUGGUCACCGAAGUUGGCGACAGUGGACAGCUGCAGACCUCAGCCCUCUGCCGGGACCUCGCGUUGCACGGCCUUCUCCCUGGCCUCCUCCAGGCCUCCGCUCCCGGGUCCCGACGAGGAGACCGAGCCAGGCCUCCCUCUGCCUGACUUCUACACCGCCACGCCACUCCCUGUCCCUCUUACCAAUUCUGCCGAUCUGCACAGACGUUGUCUGUGUACCUGACAGUUCGCGGGUCAUGUGUAUCGUUUAGUGAGCAAAGUUUUAAGCUCUUGAAGGCCUGGGAUGUUUAUCAAUGGGUCACGCCCAUCGAUGGAUCACUGGAUGCAGGGCAAGGAUGGAUUUCUUCACAUCCUGUUUUACAAAUUGUCCCAUUGUGCACUGUGCUGCUUUCAAGCAGAAGAAAGGCCAUCAAGGGACAGGGAGUGGACUUGCCAUGGUGGCUCUGGGAAACAAAGCCAGGGACCCAAAUCAGGAGUCAGGGAGGGAGGAGGCCUGUGCCAGGCACAGCUCCGCUCCCCACAAAGCAUAGCUUCCUGCCCAGCAUCCUGCUGGCUUCACCUUCGCCUCCUCCCGACUCUGGCCCCUUCUGCCCUUUCCACACCUGAGUUUCUAAAAACCUCUGGCUUGACUCCUCCCUUGUCCAUCUGAAAGGCAGUGGAAGGUGAGACAGCCCACGGGGAGUACUGACUCACUCCGAAACCUGAACCAGUUCUGACUUCAGAAAAGCUCCUCCACGCUGUGUGACCUUUUGAAAUUUCCUUGCGCCCCCUGGGUUGUCUCUAACGGGGAGCCUCACUGACAAAAUGCAUGGAUUGCAUCAGAUGAUUUCUAAAAUUCUUGCCAAUUCUAAAAGCCUUGGGCUCUGCCCUGCUGAAGACAUCACGGGCGUUGUAUUAGAACGCGUACUGCAAAGCAAGACAUUAGCCCUUUCUUUUCCUGUCCUAAUUCGCUUCAAUUGUUUUUGCUUGGGAAUGGGUGCUAAAUAUGCCUGGGAAAUGUUAUUUGCAGCUACUUUUAUUUCAGUGAUUAACUACUCAAGUAUUUACACUUAAAAUCAAGAUUAUCUUAAGUUUUUAUGCAUUGAGCUUUAGGUUUAACAUAAAUUUAAAAGACUGUGCAUUUUAAACUACAUUUACUAAAUUUAAUACACCCAAUUUUCUCAAAUACUAAAUGCCUAGCAGGACAAAGUAAAAAAUCUAAUAAGAAUCUUUUAAAGAACCCAGCACUUUAAAUCAAAGAAACCGAGCUUAUAAAUGUAUCAACUGGGUUUUAUUAAACCUUUCUAGACUUGAUUCAGUGUAUUGUUCAUUUAAAAUAAAUGUCACAAAUCUGUUUUCUUAAAUGUGUCGAACACCCAAAAUUAACUAACACACAUCUUCAGAGUCGUUCCGAGAUUUAUUCCUAGAGCUGGGCUUCAGAAUUACAAUCUGCAAAAGGCUCCUUUGUUCAUCUGUGGAAAGAGCACGCAGGGAGAGCACGCAGGGCCAGGACUAGUCCAUAACCCCAGGGAGCAGAAGUCCUAAGGGUCUGGAGCCCACCGUCCUGAGAAGCUCAGAGGGAGGUGAUGUGAGGCGUGAAAGGAGCCUUGGAAAUCCCACGGAAGUGACUCGGCAGGCAACCGAGCUGAGUGGGACCAGGAGACAGGAUAUGGGAGAGCCGCGUGUAUUGGGUGCCAUCUUUAAGUAUGUCAGCUUACCAGUCGUACAGUGUAAGGGGAGUCGUUCUGUGAAUGUGUGCUUUAAAUGCCCGCAUACAGGUCUUGGAGGCAGCGCACACGUGUGAACCCAGCGCCCUGGGGUCUGAGACAAGUUUGAAUCCAGCCUGGAUAAUGUAAUGAUUUAGCAAGACCCUGCUACAAAAUAACAAAUAAAAAAGACGGGGAGUGCAGCUCAUUGCAAAAGCCCUGGGUUCAGUCCUCAGUACGC